rnacentral:rRNA from 1 species
UACGUAGGGGGCAAGCGUUGUCCGGAUUUAUUGGGCGUAAAGCGAGCGCAGGCGGUUUCUUAAGUCUGAUGUGAAAGCCCCCGGCUCAACCUGGGAAGGGCAUUGGAAACUGGGAGACUUGAGUGCAGAAGAGGAGAGUGGAAUUCCGUGUGUAGCGGUGAAAUGCGUAGAGAUAUGGAGGAACACCAGUGGCGAAGGCGGCUCCCUGGACUGUAACUGACGCUGAGGUGCGAAAGCGUGGGGAGCAAACAGG